UAGAAGCACCUCCGAGCAGGGGCGGAGGGACCAUAGGACCAUAGUAGUCCUAGGCCCAUCCUGCUUUUGUUUAUAACUAAAAAUUAGUACCACUUAUUAUUUUAUUAUUUUCAGUUAAAUCAUUCAUAUUUCCUAGACAAACUAUCCGGCCCUCUUUAAAUAUUUUAAGAAUAUCCGGCCCUCUUUAAAUAACCCUAAAGCCUACCUAUAACCUAUUCCAACUUCCAAAACUUCAUCUUCCAUUCAUUUUCCCAAUACCAAAAAUUAGUAUUUUAUUAUUCUCUAAUUCUAGCCGACUGUUGCUCUGCUGCUAGUUUGAAAAAAAUAGUCAGAACACUGCUUCUCUCAGUCUGAUCCCUCCCGUGGUACACAAGCCGUACACUGCUUCUCUCAUCUAUAGCAUGUCACAGUCUUCAACCAGUCUAUCAAUCUAUCAGUCUUCAAUUUCCAUGAUCCUCAAGAAUUAAAGAAUUCAAUUAUUCCAUCAUUCCAUAAAAAAGACAUUGAAGUUUAGUUAAUUGGUCAACAACCCAAAUUAUGGAAAGAUAUUUCAAAAGAAAAACACAACCUGAGAUAUUAGAACCGUCUCCAAAGA